CCGUGGCCACAGAGGUGGUGCUUUGGUCUUGCAAUGUCUCCAGUGACUCGUAGAGAUUCAUAACUGGUGGUGCUGAUCAGUCUGCAAGGCUGUGGGAUGUGAAGAUUUAAAAACAAUUUUUAUAUUCAGUUUCGGUUCUCCUGCCAGUUCUGUUGACCUUUUUUUUUUUCUGUUGGAGAUAAGCUUGCCAUUGAUUACCACUGUUCCCUUUAUGGAGCUUACCUAUGCUAUUCAUGUCACAGAAGAUACCAAAGACCAUAAGUUGGUAGCUCAAAAUCUAAGCCUUUAGCAUAUUUCUUAAAAAGGAAAACUGUUUCUUUGUUUAUAAAGUCAUUAUUAUUAUUAGCUUUAAACAGAUGCCUGGUGCUACUGCCAUUGUUGCUAGACUGGGAACUUGCUCAAGCAAUCAUAUGAGGAAGUGGGUCACAAGAAUACCAUAACAUGGCUCUCUAAAGUAGCUGAUGAUUCUCAUUUCCUUACAGGUUCACUUGACAAAAACUGCAAAGAGGCAUGUUUACGUGUUCCUUUCUUUUGCUUCAGAGUUUUGCGUUAUAAUUUAUAUUUUUUUUAAAUUGAAUAAAAUAAAUUAAGUAAAAAUGUAAAAAGGUGUAAAAAAAUUAAUAAAAUAUCUUUUUAAGAA